rnacentral:tRNA from 1 species
UCCUGGGUAGUAUUGUUGUGAGUAUCCCCGCCUGUCACGCAGGAUAACCGGGGUUCAAUUCCCCGCCUGGGUU